rnacentral:rRNA from 1 species
GACGAACGCUGGCGGCGUGCCUAAUACAUGCAAGUUGAGCGCUGAAGGCUGGUACUUGUACCAACUGGAUGAGCAGCGAACGGGUGAGUAACGCGUGGGGAAUCUGCCUUUGAGCGGGGGACAACAUUUGGAAACGAAUGCUAAUACCGCAUAAAAACUUUAAACACAAGUUUUAAGUUUGAAAGAUGCAAUUGCAUCACUCAAAGAUGAUCCCGCGUUGUAUUAGCUAGUUGGUGAGGUAAAGGCUCACCAAGGCGAUGAUACAUAGCCGACCUGAGAGGGUGGACCGCCACAAUGGGACUGGGACCCCGCCCAAACUCCUACGGGAAGGCACAGUAGGGGAUCCUCCGCCAUGGACGAAAGUCUGACCGAGCCACGCCGCGGGAGUGAAGAAGGUUUUCGGAUCGUAAAACUCUGUUGGUAGGGAAGAACGUUGGUGAGAGUGGAAAGCUCAUCAAGUGACGGUAACUACCCAGAAAGGGACGGCUAACUACGUG